UGUGGCAGAAAAGUGCUAUGGAUUUAAGCUCCAUCCAUGGAGGAUAGGGCCUCUCAUUAAAA
rnacentral:tRNA from 1 species